GUCUUUAAAUUAACCAUUCGUAUAAUUAGCAGCUUCAAUCUUACACUCUCUUGCUAGGCCAAUGAGCAUUAUGCUUCCUGGUUCUUUGUUGAGCCCCCCUUGUGUACUCUACGCUGAAUGUAGCCAACUACACUAUUUUGCGGUAAUUCGAAGGCCAGUGUUUUCAACCACGUGCAGCUUCAUAAACUUCGCACAGACGACGAGAAGAACGCUGAGUUGCGCAGACUCUGAUCGCGCAUUUUCCAUGACCUACAGGCGGCCACGAGCGCAACAUUACGAAAUCUUACCAGAAUACGAAUUUGAAUCAAUUACAUGACCCCCACGCUGCCCGUUUCUCCAUGAUUCAAGAAGGCAAUGAGCCCCGUCGGGUCUUUUAAAAAAUGGCGGGUGGGGAAGCGAAACUAAUGCGUGAUAGUGGUAAGGAGAGAUGUGUGGGAAAUUUGCUUUUUUUCACUCGAUCUGUCCAACUUAUCACCAUAUUGCCUCUAAAAUGUAAAUAAAACACUAUAAAGAGAUUAUAUAAUGU